rnacentral:rRNA from 1 species
CCUACGGGAGGCAGCAGUGGGGAAUAUUGCGCAAUGGGCGAAAGCCUGACGCAGCGACGCCGCGUGAGGGAUGAAGGUCUUCGGAUCGUAAACCUCUGUCAGCAGGGAAGAACGGUCACUGUGCUAAUCAGCAGUGAAUUGACGGUACCUGCAAAGGAAGCACCGGCUAACUACGUGCCAGCCGCCGCGGUAAUACGGAGGGUGCGAGCGUUAAUCGGAAUUACUGGGCGUAAAGCGCUCGUAGGCGGUAUGUCAAGUCAAGGGUGAAAUCCCCGCGCUCAACGUGGGAACUGCCUGUGAAACUGGCAAACUGGAGUGUGUGAGAGGAUAGUGGAAUUCCAGGUGUAGGAGUGAAAUCCGUAGAUAUCUGGAGGAACAUCAGUGGCGAAGGCGACUAUCUGGCACAUAACUGACGCUGAGGAGCGAAAGCGUGGGUAGCAAACAGGAUUAGAUACCCGAGUAGUC